GACUUCCUCUGCCUCUGCAACUUGUUUUAAAACAUCUCUGCAAGUGGCAACAUCUUACGACUCCAGUUCAGUGAGUUUUCAGUGGCUUUUGAAAGUCCAAACUGCUACAAACAUGUUUUCAAUCUGGAUUGUUAAAUAAUGCUGUCGUGUGGAGGUGAAGAACCAGAAUAUGUUCAUCUUUAUAUAGUCAAGCAUAUACCAAUAUGGGAGUGGCAGCACACCAACAUGACUGUGAGGAGAGGCCUCAUCUUCAUCACCUCUCUGUAUUAGCCUACCUGUGGGUCAGGAGCAUCUUGAYGUKUGACAGAACCUCAAAUAUUUCAGGCUGCACAGAAAAUAAUUCACUGUGCAAUGUGACACUGUUUCUGUCUUCUAAUGUUUAACUGGAUGAAACAACAUGGAGCCAGGAUAAAAUAAAGACAC